AUGCUAGCUUCAGCAGCACAUAUAUUAAAAUUAGCAUGAUACAGAGAAGAUUUGCAUGACCCCUGCACAAGGAUGACAGGUAAAUUUGUGAAGUAUUCCAUAUUUUU
rnacentral:snRNA from 1 species